rnacentral:rRNA from 1 species
UACGAAGGGGGCUAGCGUUGCUCGGAAUCACUGGGCGUAAAGGGUGCGUAGGCGGGUUUUUAAGUCCGGGGUGAAAUCCUGGAGCUCAACUCCAGAACUGCCUUUGAUACUGAAGAUCUUGAGUUCGGGAGAGGUGAGUGGAACUGCGAGUGUAGAGGUGAAAUUCGUAGAUAUUCGCAAGAACACCAGUGGCGAAGGCGGCUCACUGGCCCGAUACUGACGCUGAGGCGCGAAGGCGUGGGGAGCAAACAGG